rnacentral:rRNA from 1 species
UACGGUGGGAGGGCUAGCGUUGCUCGGAAUCACUGGGCGUAAAGCGCACGUAGGCGGCUUUUUAAGUCAGGGGUGAAAUCCUGGAGCUCAACUCCAGAACUGCCUUUGAUACUGAAGAUCUUGAGUUCGGGAGAGGUGAGUGGAACUGCGAGUGUAGAGGUGAAAUUCGUAGAUAUUCGCAAGAACACCAGUGGCGAAGGCGGCUCACUGGCCCGAUACUGACGCUGAGGCACGAAAGCGUGGGGAGCAAACAGG